UAAGACCAAAACAUAACUAAGCCGUCAUAAGCUCAUGAUGUGUCUAAAACCAGCUUUGACAAGAUCUUAGUACUUUUGAUUAAUUUAAGCCCACGAAAGCCAAGACACAAACUGGGAUUAGAUACCCCACUAUGCUUGGCCCUAAAUCUUGAUGCUUCCCCUACUAAAGCAUCCGCCAGAGAACUACGAGCACAAACGCUUAAAACUCUAAGGACUUGGCGGUGCCCCAAACCCACCUAGAGGAGCCUGUUCUGUAAUCGAUAACCCACGUUACACCCGACCACUUCUUGCCCAAGGCAGCCUACAUACCGCCGUCGCCAGCCCACCUCUGUUGAGAGUACAAUAGUGGGCACAAUAGCCCAAACUCGCUAACAAGACAGGUCGAGGUAUAGCCCAUGAAGUGGAAGAAAUGGGCUACAUUUUCUAAAAUAGAAAAUACUACGGAAAGGACUAUGAAAUCACUCCUAGAAGGCGGAUUUAGCAGUAAAGCGGGACAAGAAAGCCCCCUUUAAGCCGGCUCUGAGGCACGUACAUACCGCCCGUCACCCUCC
rnacentral:rRNA from 1 species